rnacentral:snoRNA from 1 species
CGAUUGUCUAUACUAUGACACCCAAAACGCAUUCCUUGGAAAGAUGAACAAAGUGGGUGAGACAUCUCUACUAUCUCAUUUCAUUGAACUGAAGUCC